rnacentral:rRNA from 1 species
UCCUACGGGAGGCAGCAGUGGGGAAUUUUGCGCAAUGGGGGAAACCCUGACGCAGCAACGCCGCGUGCGGGAUGACGGCCUUCGGGUUGUAAACCGCUUUCAGUAGGGACGAAUUUUGACGGUACCUACAGAAGAAGCCCCGGCUAACUACGUGCCAGCAGCCGCGGUAAUACGUAGGAUGCGAGCGUUAUCCGGAUUUAUUGGGUUUAAAGGGUGCGCAGGCGGUCUGUUAAGUCAGCGGUCAAAGCCUGGGGCUCAACCCCGGCCCGCCGUUGAAACUGGCAGUCUCG